rnacentral:rRNA from 1 species
UACGGGGGGAGCAAGCGUUGUUCGGAUUUACUGGGCGUAAAGGGCGCGUAGGCGGCCACCGCAAGUCGACUGUGAAAUCUCCGGGCUUAACCCGGAAAGGUCAGCCGAUACUGCGGGGCUAGAGUGCAGAAGGGGCAACUGGAAUUCUCGGUGUAGCGGUGAAAUGCGUAGAUAUCGAGAGGAACACCUGCGGCGAAGGCGGGUGCUGGGCUGACACUGACGCUGAUGCGCGAAAGCCGUAGGGGAGCGAACGGG